UACGAAGGGGGGCUAGCGUUGCUCGGAAUCACUGGGCGUAAAGCGCACGUAGGCGGAUUGCUAAGUCAGGGGUGAAAUCCUGGAGCUCAACUCCAGAACUGCCUUUGAUACUGAGGAUCUUGAGUUCGGGAGAGGUGAGUGGAACUGCGAGUGUAGAGGUGAAAUUCGUAGAUAUUCGCAAGAACACCAGUGGCGAAGGCGGCUCACUGGCCCGAUACUGACGCUGAGGCACGAAAGCGUGGGGAGCAAACAGG
rnacentral:rRNA from 1 species